rnacentral:rRNA from 1 species
GGCUCAGAUUGAACGCUGGCGGCAGGCCUAACACAUGCAAGUCGAGCGGUAGAGAGGUGCUUGCAUCUCUUGAGAGCGGCGGACGGGUGAGUAAUGCCUAGGAAUCUGCCUAGUGGUGGGGGAUAACGUUCGGAAACGGACGCUAAUACCGCAUACGUCCUACGGGAGAAAGCGGGGGAUCUUCGGACCUCGCGCCAUUAGAUGAGCCUAGGUCGGAUUAGCUAGUUGGUGAGGUAAUGGCUCACCAAGGCGACGAUCCGUAACUGGUCUGAGAGGAUGAUCAGUCACACUGGAACUGAGACACGGUCCAGACUCCUACGGGAGGCAGCAGUGGGGAAUAUUGGACAAUGGGCGAAAGCCUGAUCCAGCCAUGCCGCGUGUGUGAAGAAGGUCUUCGGAUUGUAAAGCACUUUAAGUUGGGAGGAAGGGUAGUAACCUAAUACGUUGCUACUUUGACGUUACCGACAGAAUAAGCACCGGCUAACUACGUG